UUUUUUAUUUAUUUGUUUGUUUGUUGAAAGGGUUUGAAGAGAUUUAUCAAGUAAGAAGGGGAUAUGUCGUUGACGUCAAUAAUCUCGCACACGCCGAUGACGUAAAUCAAUGGUUUUGAUUCCCAAGAAUAGUCUCUCUCUCUUUUUUAUCGAAUCGUCUUAUCGAUAGUGGAAAUUGUGUUCCCCAGCUACUAUCGGAGAAAAGAACGACACAGCCUGGGUAGACAUUUUCAUUAGUUCGGUAGGAGUCUCGCGUCGACGUUUUUGACGCAUUACAAAAGCUUCGAUGAUGUUCGGAUAAAGAAUCGGAGGGGUGAAAAUAACGAGGGAUAACGAGCGAGGGGAGGGUUAGAAAGAAAGAAAGAAAGAAAAAGAGAAAGAGAGAGAGAGAGAGAGAGAGAGAGAGAGAGAGAGAGAGAGAGAGAGAGAGAGAGAACAGCUAUGAGCUGGCAACGAGCAUUGACAAAGCGAUUCAAAAUGAACAAUAAGAUGACGGAAGAAAUGAGAUCGUAAGCGAUGAACGAUGCAACGUAAUGAACGAGCAACGCAAUUUCUUGAUGAUUUAUUUUGGCGAGGCCGUUGCGCGCGGUUGGUCUAUGCUGUCUCUGCUCGAGCCACGAAUAACUCGGAGAAUCAUAGCGACGCUUGCUCGACGACGUCGAGGUUAUUCUGACUCAUCUUGGAUUCUCGUAGAGAUCGAAAUUCCAAUGUUUUCGAAGGACGUUACGGACGUGGUCUUACCUGUCUUGUACUUGUACCAUGUUCUCCAACAAUCAUAAUAAAAUACUUGCGAAUGAUUACCUUAGAAGAAUCUGCUUUUUUUUUUUUUAAAUGAAAUAGUAAACUAGAGGGGUUGAAAGCGCGUUGAAUAAUCAGUCCAAGAAAUCGAACGAAAGUGUGAAUAAUUUUGUUUAGAUCGAAUAAAGAUCUGUCAAUGUAAGUACUU